CACCCUUUUUGGCAAUGGUAGAACUCACACCGGUGAGGUACUGGGACCCGGUGGUUCUAGACUUGCCAACUAUGGUG
rfam:Cricetulus griseus cell line CHO-K1, whole genome shotgun sequence.